AUGGGCUCUGCCCCAUGUGGGCUCGCCGGUGAGCGCUGAACUGGGAGCUGUUGUUGAAUCUCUUUCCACAGACGGUGCACUGGUGGGCAGUGAGGUUGGAGCGCUCACUAAAGCCUUUCCCACACUCGCUGCACUUGUGAGGCUUUUCUCCCGUGUGGAUUCUCUGAUGCCGCACAAGACCUGAGAGAACAGAAACAUGCCGGGCUGUGGAGAAAGAACAGAGGAAUGAGGAAGGUUAUCAUUAGAGCACCAACAAGAAUAUCUAAAUGGAGGUCUUCACAGGAUUCAGUCUUCUACUAAUAAUAGCCUCAUUUCAUUUUCCAGUUGUAAUAUUUUCAAGCUCCAAACCCUGUGGUCACAGCAGCCCGAGCUGUGCCUGCCGUUUCUCCGGCCGCUGAAUCUGGCUGCUGGGUGUCACCUCCGAUCCAUUCUUCCCCGUUUGGCGGUGUCUCAUGGGCAGUGUCCCUGUGGAACUCCUAUAAUGUUCCUCGCUCAGCGAACAGAACCUCUAGGACAUGCAGAGGUCUGUGACUAUGAAGAUGUUAUCGAACUAGGGAUCAGAGCAGCCUGAA